rnacentral:misc_RNA from 1 species
UGGCUCUCGCAUCGAUGAAGAACGCGGCGAAAUGCGAUAAGUAAUGUGAAUUGCAGAUUUCAGUGAAUCAUCGAAUCUUUGAACGCACCUUGCGCUCCUUGGUCCUCCAAGGAGCAUGCCUGUUUGAGUGUCCAGAAUAUUAUCAAUCACUGCAACUUUGCGGUUGUAACUGAUUGGAGUUGGGGCUAUUCUGCUGUCGAGGUUUCUCCUUGCAGCUGCUCCGAAAUGCAUUAGCUUGCCUCCUGCCUGGGGUUGCCAGCGGCUUGAUAAUUGUCAUUGUCUAUGCCAAGUUGCACCUUUGCUAUGGCUGCUCACAACUGUCCUCGGACAAUUGAAAUUAAGAUCGGACCUCAAAUCAGGUAGGACUACCCGCUGA